rnacentral:rRNA from 1 species
AACGAACACUGGCGGCAUGCCUAACACAUGCAAGUCGAACGAGACCUUCGGGUCUAGUGGCGCACGGGUGCGUAACGCGUGGGAAUCUACCCUUGGGUUCGGAAUAACAGUUAGAAAUGACUGCUAAUACCGGACGAUGACGUAAGUCCAAAGAUUUAUCGCCCAAGGAUGAGCCCGCGUAAGAUUAGCUUGUUGGUGGGGUAAUGGCCUACCAAGGCGACGAUCUUUAGCUGGUCUGAGAGGAUGAUCAGCCACACUGGGACUGAGACACGGCCCAGACUCCUACGGGAGGCAGCAGUGGGGAAUAUUGGACAAUGGGCGAAAGCCUGAUCAGCAAUGCCGCGUGAGUGAUGAAGGCCUUAGGGUUGUAAAGCUCUUUUACCAGGGAUGAUAAUGACAGUACCUGGAGAAUAAGCUCCGGCUAACUCCGUGCCAGCCGCCGCCGUAA